ensembl:lncRNA
GUAUCUACAGCAUUUUUGCCUCCAUGCAUCAUUGGUCAUCAUUGGUCAUCAUUGGUCAUCAUUGGUCAUCAUUGGUCUCUGAAGUCAUCAUUGGUCUCUGAAGUCUGUUUCAUGUUGGAAUCCAACGCUUUGUGUUCAGAUGGCAAGACUCCUCUGCAUGUCAGUGAUCAUCAGCGUGAUGCUUCUUCAAAGCUGCUCCUGUAUCAGCAAGGAGGAUCUGGCUGAAAUGGUGGAUGUGAUUUGGACAAACUACUACCCGGGCAAGAUGUUCAGCAUCGCCGCAAGCAUCCCCCCAAAUAAUAACCAAGUGGGAAAAUAUGAUUUCAAUCAAGUCUUGAAUGCUGAGAAUGCUAAGGAGGUGAAGAAUACGAUAAAGAGAGGAGAAGUGUAUAAAAGAGGAAGGAUUGUUGCUGCAACAUUUAUCCCAAAACCAGACCAAGGAAAUACACACGCAGAGUAUCGAGUUCUUCAGAACUUUGGCAACUUGAUUAAUCAAAGAUCUCCAAAUGACUUACUGCUUUUUUAUGUUCUAGCAGCUCCUUGUACCCAGAAGUGUACAAAGGUAGACCAUCAAGAAAGCAUAGUAAAUUAUUUACCAUCUUUGAAAAAAUGGACAAAUUAUGCUUUUGCAUUCUCGUAUCUGUACAAACCCAAUUUUCCACCGGACAUUCCUGAUAAGGAUCGUGAAGCAGGUAUUAAGAUACUUGGAGACAAACUGCGUCUUAAGAAUGUCUUUCGAUGCAUUGAAAACGACGAGGGCCAAAUGCAGUGUAGCACCUGUGCAGCCGCGAACAACCAGGUAGCUCAAACUUGUUUUUUCAAAAUCUGCUUUGACUGAAACUAAACCUGAAAGAUUUGGAAGAAGAGGAGGCAGAUAGAGUACUGGAGGAUUAAACAGAAAAAACUGGUUGGAUUCAGUCACAGUUCACUUGCAUUAUUCUGAAAUCUAAACAAUAUUGCUUCAAAGUUCACUUUAUAUUCUAGUUAAGCAUUUCAGCCUAUUGUAUAUUUUUAAUAAUAUAAAAUUUGAAUAAUUUAUACCCUGAUAGAAAUGAAGGAAGUAAAGGAGGGAAUUAACAUUUCUCACUUUCUGACCACUAAAGAUUUGACUUUAAUGCUUUUUCUAAACUGCUAAAAAAAAUCCACCUUAAAGUUUAUGAAGCUUCAUUUAUUAAAUCUACAAAAUCUUCAGUGUAGGAAGUUAAGAACAGCUCUGUAAUGAGAAAAAAACAUUGUGAUAAAUAGCUUUUAUUGAUCUAUUCAAAUCGAAUAUACUCUCAUUUAAGUCAUUUUCUUUCCAAAGUUUUUUGUCGAUAACAGUUAGUCUUCAGUUUAUUCAUCCUGCUGCUCCUUUAUUGCCAUUUUCUGCUCCAUUAUCACCACAAAAACUGUAACAUAUGAUAUAAUUCCUUUGUAAAGUUGAAAUCAUGUAUUCAUGUUUUUGUGAUUUAAAAAGAGCUUCAUGUCAUAAAUCUUUACGCUAUUAAAGCUCAGCUCUGCAAAAACAUUUUUUUAUUUUGUUUUAUUUCACUGCCUCUCUGUCCCAGUCUGCAACUCACACAAAUUCCUCUGGAGAAGAUUUUUGACAAACAAAAUAUUUAUUGACACAAACCAUAAAUAGGUUGAGCAGAUAAAAACGUUUGC